rnacentral:rRNA from 1 species
UACGGAGGGUGCAAGCGUUAUCCGGAUUCACUGGGUUUAAAGGGUGCGUAGGUGGGUUGGUAAGUCAGUGGUGAAAUCCCCGAGCUUAACUUGGGAACCUGCCAUUGAUACUAUCAGUCUUGAAUACCGUGGAGGCUAGCGGAAUAUGUCAUGUAGCGGUGAAAUGCUUAGAUAUGACAUAGAACACCAAUUGCGAAGGCAGCUGGCUACACGAAUAUUGACACUGAGGCACGAAAGCGUGGGGAUCAAACAGG